AAGAGAUUGAUUUUUGUAAAUACGUUUAAGACGUAUUUUAUUUAACUAGCAACUGCGUUUGUUUGAGUCAAUAAAUAGCAUGUAAGAUGGUAGAAUGGUAUUAAAUUUUGGACAUGUUAUUAAAACAAUGUUAUUGAAACAAUAUUCCAAAAAUGUGAUUUUACAAGUUUAUCUUGGGUUGAAUUAUAAAUAUAUAAUUCAAAAGAUAGCCCAGGGCAGAAGGACGACGUGUACUGCAGCCUAGAAGAUGAAUGCAGACAGCGUUGGAAAGAAUAUAUGAAGAUACUUCCAAAAAACCUGCUACAGAGAGGUAACAAAGAUGCAUUGAUGAACUGAUUCAGUAGCGAAGGCCUGGACUAAGGCUUUGAGAAAAAAAGCUCAGAGAGCCUGAAGCAGCCUCUAGUACCUUGAGUCUCCUGAAAGAAUAAAAGUUAAAAAUCCUCAAUUUUGGAAAUCACCACGUACAACUUUAUUAAUACCUUGGAGCAAGACCCAUCUUCAUCAUGUAAUUGCAGCUAAGGUCAAAUAAAAUUUUAUUGGUGAUGGGGUUAUAAACAAGAUCAUGGAACACAACGAGAAUAAAAAAAAACAAGUAAAAAAUGAAGAGAGAAGACACGCUUGUGUAGAUGACACUAGACAACAAUAAUAGGGUAACAACGUACUUGUCAUUGGAUCACAGAUGGUAUGCAAAUUGAUUGCAGCCAAGAUACUCCAGGAUAAUACUCGGCAAACGUAUCCAUAUAUAGCAAAAUAUGACA